GCCCCGCCUUAUAGGCGUGACAGUUGCCGAAGUCUCAAUGGGGGUUGGAACUUCCAGAUCAAAGCUGGAAUGGCUACCCACUACAUCGCAUCACUGGCUAUGAAAAUAUUUGAAUUGAGAGAGAACCUUUGAUGAGUUCUUCCAUGGAUCAGCAAAAUUUUGCUCUAAAUACCUAAAUAAUCCCCAUGGUAAACUCUAUGGGUCAUACAUCUGGGUCACAACCACUAACCCUGGUGUCAGCAUACAUCUCAACAACACUCACAUUUGGAAGGUGAUGAUGCCCCAAAUAAAUGCUAUUCAUUGCACUGGAA